rnacentral:rRNA from 1 species
ACUUUAAUUGAAGAGUUUGAUCAUGGCUCAGAUUGAACGCUGGCGGCAGGCCUAACACAUGCAAGUCGAGCGGUAACAUUUCAAAAGCUUGCUUUUGAAGAUGACGAGCGGCGGACGGGUGAGUAAUGCCUGGGAAUUUGCCCAUUUGUGGGGGAUAACAGUUGGAAACGAC